GAUGAACGCUGGCGGCGUGCCUAAUACAUGCAAGUCGAGCGAACAGACGAGGAGCUUGCUCCUCUGACGUUAGCGGCGGACGGGUGAGUAAAACGUGGAUAACCUACCUAUAAGACUGGGAUAACUUCGGGAAACCGGAGCUAAUACCGGAUAAUAUAUUGAACCGCAUGGUUCAAUAGUGAAAGACGGUUUUGCUGUCACUUAUAGAUGGAUCCGCGCCGCAUUAGCUAGUUGGUAAGGUAACGGCUUACCAAGGCAACGAUGCGUAGCCGACCUGAGAGGGUGAUCGGCCACACUGGAACUGAGACACGGUCCAGACUCCUACGGGAGGCAGCAGUAGGGAAUCUCCCGCAAUGGGCGAAAGCCUGACGGAGCAACGCCGCGUGAGUGAUGAAGGUCUUCGGAUCGUAAAACUCUGUUAUUAGGGAAGAACAAAUGUGUAAGUAACUAUGCACGUCUUGACGGUACCUAAUCAGAAAGCCACGGCUAACUACGUG
rnacentral:rRNA from 1 species